CUUAAGGAUGUUUGUUCAUUGGGUUUCAGGUUUGAUCUUAUCAAAUCCGAUUUAGAUUCAAUCAUUGGUAUCAGUUCUUCUACUUGUCAAACUUUGUCAAGCUCUAUUUUAGAGGCACUUAUUCCUUCACUAAGGAAUUUUUUUUUCAAAAAAUGUGCCUUACUGCUGACAAACACCUUUUGUUUAGUAGACAAGUAAAAAUAAUAUCCCCUCAUUUUCUUAGGAUACCCUACGA
rnacentral:lncRNA from 1 species